GUCUACGGCCAUACCACGUUGAAAGCACCAGUUCUCGUCCGAUCACUGAAGUUAAGCAACGUCGGGCUCGGUUAGUACUUGGAUGGGUGACCGCCUGGGAACACCGAGUGCUGUAGACU
rfam:Lottia gigantea unplaced genomic scaffold LOTGIsca_31, whole genome shotgun sequence.